UACGGGGGGGGCAAGCGUUGUUCGGAAUUACUGGGCGUAAAGGGCUCGUAGGUGGCCAACUAAGUCGGACGUGAAAUCCCUCAGCUUAACUGGGGAACUGCGUCCGAUACUGGAUGGCUUGAGUUUGGGUGAGGGAUGCGGAAUUCCAGGUGUAGCGGUGAAAUGCGUAGAUAUCUGGAGGAACACCGGUGGCGAAGGCGGCAUCCUGGACCAACACUGACACUGAGGAGCGAAAGCCAGGGGAGCAAACGGG
rnacentral:rRNA from 1 species